UCAAUUAUAGCAAUUACCUUAGUCUAGCUGUUUCUUCCCUCUCUCUACACCAACCCCAAUUACAAGUUUUUGAUUUCACACAUUUUGAAGAGUCUUAUGUAAGUGUCUUUAUUAUAACAAUCUCAGUAUUUCUUAAAAACAGAUCUUAAUUUCUAAAUAUUGUAUAUAUGAAGCUUUAAAUUUAACUGCCAUAUACUCUUCCUUUAUAGAUUUUAAAAGCUCUCAAUGUCCAGAUACACUUUUAAAAAGCAAAGGAUGAAAGAAGGAAGAAAGAAGGAAGGAAAGGAAGACCUUCCCACUAAACUAAUCUUUGGGAUCAUAAGUUCUGAUCUCUACUCUAAGGAAAUAAUGAAAGAAGUAUUCAGAUGAUAUAUGAGAUGCAAAGACUAAGGCUACUGGAACUUUUCUCUUGAACUUCAUUGCUUCAAUGGACACGAUACACUGUUCAGGUGGCUGUGUCAGAAGACCUUGGCAAUGGGAGAACUAGUUAUCACUUCCUACUCCAUUUCCUCUUAUGACAAAACAGGCUGGAGUCAACUCUAGCCCUUUACUACAUUAGGUAUGAAUACAGUUACUGUAUUUUUUUCUAGUCUAUUAUUAACUUUUUACAUUAACAUGGUACAUUUGUUAUAAUUAAUGAACCAAUGUUGGUACAUUAUUAUUAACUAAAGUCCAUAUUUAAUUCAGAGUUCUUUAGUUUUUAUCUAAUGUCCUUUUUUUGUCUGUUUCAGGACCCCAUCCAGGAUCCCACAUUACAUUUAGUUUGCUCUGUUUUUUUCAUUAGUUCAACUGUGUGUGGGUGUGUGCAUGUGUGCGGGUGGGGGAGUAUGACUAUCUCUCUUCUUCUAUGUAGCCAGUUAAGGGCAAAAUCCUACAAAUUACUGUUCUCAGGUGCUCUAAUGUAAAACAAAAGGGUAUAUGUUAAUGAAGUAAUCUGGAGUUUUAAUUAUGAGAAAAACACUGUAGAUGAGAGGAAGCUUAGGUUAAAAAGAAUUUGACAUUUGGAGGGACCUAGAAUCAUGGUCUGUGACUUCAACAUGGAUUAACAGAAUCUAAAAAGCAAGGAAUGGGGUAGAGGAGCGUGACAGUUCAGAGUAAUAAAAGGCACUUCACAUAGAACUAUAGCAAUGCAGAAGAAAGAAGUAAUAUUGUGCAAUUUAUCAUCAUUUAAUUUAGGGGAGUCUGCAUUUUUAAAAUCCACAGAAAUGCAGUCACAGUUUCCUUGCCAAUAUUUGUAGAAAACAUUUUCCAAACAAGACUCAUUCAUCUUACUCUGAAAUGAAUUGUUAGAUCACAACAGAGAAUGUUAAAGACUUUGCAUCCCUUAUAGAAAUGCCAAACAUUUUACUCUGCCUGAUGCUGUACUAUAAAUAGGGAAAUCCGAGUGCUAAAAAUGUUCUUCAAGUUGCCAAACAUAGUUCUUUAGCAUCAACUUCCUCCUACAAAUGACUCAUUCUUCCAAAGUUUGAAAAUGAAAGCUAGUUACAAUUCAGAGAAAUGUUGUAGCGUACAUCGAUUAAAUGGCAAAGAUAUUUCAUUUAUGUAUAUUUAUUUUUCCUUAGAUCUUAUCCACUGAAAUUCUUCUUCAGAAUUUUAUUGAAGUUUUAUUAAAGAGUAGUUACUCUCAUGAGAAGUCGAGUUUUAAAUAAACAAUUAGAACAGCCAAGCAACAUGAAUAUUGUUGGAGAAUAAUGAUGGUUUAAAUCAUUUUGAAAUUCGUUAACUUCAUUUGGAUAUAAUAGAUGCAAAAUGUAUUUACUGUAAUAAAAAUAAGUUAAUAGUGAAGUCAUAACAUGAAAACUAAUAAGCUCACCAAACAAGAUGGUACAAAUAAUGCCUCAAUGUCCAAGAACACAAGGAAAUUAAACUCUAAGAAAUUUUACCUGAUUAAGAAAAACAGGACUCUUGGGAAGAAAGCAUCCUUUGUUAUAAAAAGAAUAAUAAAUAGGGAAAAUGCCAUUGAUUUAUGAUUAAUAUUUCAAAAUAGUACAUGUAUCUAUAUAUAUCUUGCAAUAAGUAAAGAGAACAUAAAUAGUAUAGGGAUUUGUAUAGCACAUUUGAGGUUAGUACUCAUUUGAAGAGGUAAUUGCUUUUUUUUUUUUUUUUGCGGUACGCGAGCCUCUCACUGUUGUG